rnacentral:rRNA from 1 species
CCUACGGAGGGGCAGCAGUGGGGAAUAUUGGACAAUGGGGGGAACCCUGAUCCAGCCAUGCCGCGUGUGUGAAGAAGGCCCUCGGGUUGUAAAGCACUUUCAGUGAGGAAGAACGCCUGGUGGUUAAUACCCAUCAGGAAAGACAUCACUCACAGAAGAAGCACCGGCUAACUCCGUGCCAGCAGCCGCGGUAAUACGGAGGGUGCGAGCGUUAAUCGGAAUUACUGGGCGUAAAGCGCGCGUAGGUGGCUUGAUAAGCCGGUUGUGAAAGCCCCGGGCUCAACCUGGGAACGGCAUCCGGAACUGUCAAGCUAGAGUGCAGGAGAGGAAGGUAGAAUUCCCGGUGUAGCGGUGAAAUGCGUAGAGAUCGGGAGGAAUACCAGUGGCGAAGGCGGCCUUCUGGACUGACACUGACACUGAGGUGCGAAAGCGUGGGUAGCAAACAGGAUUAGAUACCCGGGUAGUC